AUGUUCAGAAGGGCCAAGUACUCAAAACUUCCUCCUGAGUCAAUUUCCACAUCUCAGUGGACCUCACUGAAGUUUCAACAAGCUGGUGCAGCAAAUGACAAACCUCUUCCAUGGGCAGGCAUGAAGAGCUCAAGCCAAAAAUCAAAUCCUGAUUCUACAGUUAAACACAGCUUCACAAAGAUCCCUCAUAUACCAAAUUCUCUGCCCAAUAUUUCCAGUACGUUCUUCCUUUCUCUACGGUGUUUACUGUACAUGCUUAUUCUUGAGAGGCAGGUUUGGUUUGUUUGUUUCUUCGAAAUUUGUAAAGUGCACAUCCACAUGGUGAGCAAAUUUAUUGGAAUGUGAAAACAUUUUUAUUUUCUUUUUAGUAAGACUAAAUUCUAUAUGGCACUGCCAGGAUACUGUGUGUGAACUCAGAACUUUAGAACUUUAGAAGAUUAUUCCAAAGAAAUUCAUUAAAACAUUUUGAAAAUCUCAAACUUGCAGCAAUGUCAUUUCUGUAAACUUGUUUUAAAAGGUGACAUUAAAAGCAUUUAUUUCAAGUACAUUUACAUAAGGAGUGUUAUUCCUUAUUAUAGUAGGAACAACCAGUCUAACAUUAUAAUCUGUUGUACUCUUUAGUUGGGAUUUCGUAUAAUCCAAACUUUGAGGUAAAUCAACAGAGCAGAAGUAUGCAGUUCCUUUCUCUUUUCAUCCCAUGGACGUUCCAGACAAGUGAUAAAGGUCCAGUGAAAAGCCCCUGUUGGUGCAGUGCCAUGUAAGCCAGGAUGCUACAAAAGCAGGUUAAAAGCAGGAUCACUACUAUCAUGCAACGGUGCUGGGAUCAAGGGGCACCACAACUGGCCACAGAAAACAAACCAUCUGCCAAAGGAUGGCACAUCCCAUCCUCUUUCUCUACUAAGGAAAGACAAACUAGUCUCUACGGAUAUAACUAAUUAGAAAGAGAUGGAAAAGAACAAGACUUGGAACACUCAAUUCCCAAGCCCUCUCCUGUGGCUUUUGUCCUGCAAGGCUCACAUUUUCCCCUCUGUGUACAGACGGUUAUUCCAUUCUGUAACACAAGGAGGGAUUAGCUUCAAGCAUCAUCCUUGCCCUUCAUUAAAUAAGACCUCAUUGCCACUAAAAUUAUUUGCAGCUUCCUUCUUCCGUUUUUUAAAAUCUUUGCACGAUUCCGAGACGUAUCUCCCCUGUGCUCAACACAUUCCCGGAACCAUUUGAUGUGUUCUUAGCCCUGCACAUCAGUUAGCCCAGUUGCUCGAUUUGCGCAUGCAUGAACUUUUAAAGAGCAAUACUUGCUAAGUGUUAGCCUAAAGCUAGGAUAACUCCUCAGCUGUCAAAAAGGAAAACCAGAAGACUGCAUAGAGUAGCAAAUGCUAAUAAAAAUUAGUGGUGUGGGGAAGAAUGUAUAAUC
rnacentral:lncRNA from 1 species